UCUCAUUCCUAAAUUAAUCUCACUUUCAAUUUGUGACCAUGACUGAGCUGGAACUGCAGACUAUAAAGAAUGACUCCUCAGAUGUCGAGGCUGUGGAUUAUGAAUUUGCCAGAGAUGCUGAUGCCAACUCUUCUCACUCCACGUGGAACCAUGGUUUUCCAGACACACUGUCAGCCCAGCAGUCAGUCCUCAGUCUUGCAGAUGGACAUAUGUCUUCACCUUCAGCUUUCUGAUCACGUCUGCAUCUCCCAUUCCUUCUCUUUCUUUCUCUGAAUCAAAGGUGACACACAAACUUAGUGCAAAAAAGAUCCCACAAACUAAGACCUUGUAGAAGAAAAGGAAGCAGCCAAGAAAUUUAAGGUAUUUGUAACAUUGCCAAGCUUCAAUCAUUUGGGAUAAAAUUUUCCAUGUUAGGUGUCUCCAUCUGACAAGUUUUAAAUUUUUUGUUUGUUUGUUUUGGGUAUAUUACAGUAAAAAUAAUUUGGCUGCUUUCAAGGACAAGGCUAUGGAAAAAGAAGUUUUGUCCAUGUGAACUGACUCCAGUGACCUUAAACUGAGUGUUUCACAUUUCAGAUUAAAACCUAGGACAGAGGGAGGAGUGAGCACACUUCAUAUCAAGGAUGUGCCUUUUGGCAUCCCUCUGAAAUCUGACCCUAGUUCAUUAAAUUUCAUACUAUUGGGGGGUGGAGAGGGGUGUGUGGAGAGGGAAGUUCACACAUGUUCAAUAGAUCAAGAUUUUAACAGUUUAAUUCAGCAAAGUUGUCACCCCUAAGAGGCUGAACAUGAUGUUAUCAUGACUUGUGCUGCAAGUGCAAAGUCUGAGCGCCUAAACUAAGGUCAGCAAACACUUUGUUGGGUUUCCCAAUGAUACCCUUUGAUUUAGGGAGUUAAAAGUACUGGAGAAAAGAACUUGUUCAGAGAGAAGGGAGUAAACUGUGAUGGGAGUAAGUCACAGGAUACUACUGAGUAGGAUGGAAAUAAGAGAUAAGAUAGGCUACGAAAACAGUAUACAGGGCAAAGAUAAAGAUUGUCGAUAUAAUCGUAACUGAUGAAGUAAAGACAGGCUUGGAUAAGAAGGUUGAGAGAUUUGAUAUAAGACCAACUACCAUCUUAACUUUGAACAUUUCAUAGCCUCAUCUCAUAGUAUUAAUUUUUAAAAUAUAUCUUCAUUGUAAUUGCUUGUAGAGAUGAAACAAUUAUAUUACAUAUAGCUCUUCACUCU